AUUGAACGCUGGCGGCAUGCCUUACACAUGCAAGUCGAACGGCAGCAUGGAGAGCUUGCUCUCUGAUGGCGAGUGGCGAACGGGUGAGUAAUGCAUCGGAACGUACCGUGUAAUGGGGGAUAACGUAGCGAAAGUUACGCUAAUACCGCAUACGACCUGAGGGUGAAAGCAGGGGAUCGCAAGACCUUGCGUUAUACGAGCGGCCGAUGUCAGAUUAGCUAGUUGGUGAGGUAAAGGCUCACCAAGGCGACGAUCUGUAGCGGGUCUGAGAGGAUGAUCCGCCACUCUGGGACUGGGACACGGCCCAGACUCCGACGGGAGGCAGCAGUGGGGAAUAUUGGACAAUGGGGGCAACCCUGAUCCAGCCAUGCCGCGUGAGUGAAGAAGGCCUUCGGGUUGUAAAGCUCUUUCGGCCGGGAAGAAAUCGCACAGGCUAAUACUCUGUGUGGAUGACGGUACCGGCAUAAGAAGCACCGGCUAACUACGUGCCAGCCGCCGCAGUAA
rnacentral:rRNA from 1 species